GUCCCGGUAGCUCAGUUGGUAGAGCACAUGUACCAGGAGCAAUAACUGCCUCCUGGCAAUAACUGCCAGGAGGUCGCAGGAUCGAAGCCUGCCCGGGAUU